ACACGACUACAUUAGAUAACCCGCGUAGUCCUAGCCGUAAACGAUACUCGCUAGGUGUCGGCCACGGUGCGACCGUUGUCGGUGCCGUAGGGAAGCCGUGAAGCGAGCCACCUGGGAAGUACGGCCGCAAGGCUGAAACUUAAAGGAAUUGGCGGGGGAGCACUACAACGGGUGGAGCUUGCGGUUUAAUUGGAUUCAACGCCGGAAAUCUUACCGGGACCGACAGCAACAUGAAGGCCAAGCUGAAGACUUUGCCGGAUUAGCUG
rnacentral:rRNA from 1 species